AGGGAUACAAUUUAAACUUCUAUAAGUACACAUUCAAAAGAUGCCAUUUUCGCAUGGCUUAUAUACAUUAACCAAAAUAUCUUCUCACUACUAGUCUAUUCUAUACAUGCCAUAAGAUAAUCCAAAGCGUAGCAGUACCAAACAAUGGAUAGUGAUAGUGUGACUAGUUGCUGAUGAUCCCCGAGCCUAUAGCUUCCAAAUGAGAUCUAUAAAACAGAGGAAACAAAGUACACGGAGUAAGCAUUACAAUGCUUAGUAAGUUUUAAGCAGUGUCAACAGAUAACAAUCAAAUUAUAACAUAGUUGUUCGUAUUUUUAUUUCACUCUUCCUUCGGGCAUACCAUCCCUUUACCGAAUAUGCACAUCUCAUCAUAUAUAAUAGGCAGAUAAAUUCUCACUUGAUAGUGACCUCUUAUGAUCAUAGGUACAUUACAUAUUUUUUUUCCUGACUUUCCACAUUGACCAAAUGCACAAUAAUCAUAGAACAGUCUUAUUGCUUUACUCACAUGUGCAUCACAUAACGACCUUGUGAUUUAGUCUAAAUCAAACUUAAAUAUAAUCUCAAAAUACAUACCUGACCAACUUAACGCAUUGAACGUAUUUAUUACCAAUUGUUACUGUGAAGUUGUAUAAUCUUACGCUUUACUUGAAUCUUCAGCAAAACCUUUAGUUCGAGGCUUACCUGGACAAAAUCUCCACACGUAGUCAUCGGGUCUUUAGAGCUCAGAUAUAGUACGAGCACGAAGCUUACGGACGUUAAUCAGUGAUAAUAUUCUCGCAUAAAGCCUGCGGGGUUUUAACCCGGAUAUAGUACUGACACAAAUGCCCUUCGGGACUUAUCACAUUUAUACACUUUCACAUCCAUCACGUUGGCCACUCGGCCCUGUCACAUAUAUACACUUUCACAUUCAUCACAUCGGCCAUUAGGCCUUAUCACAUAUAUACACUUUCACAUUCAUCACAUCGGCCAUUAGGCCUUAUCACAUAUAUACACUUUCACAUUCAUCACAUCGGCCAUUAGGCCUUAUCACAUAUAUAUACACUUUCACAUUCAUCACAUUGGCCAUUCGGCCUUAUCGCAUAUAUACACUUUCACAUUCAUCACAUCGGCCAUUAGGCCUUAUCACAUAUAUAUACACUUUCACAUUCAUCACAUCGGCCAUUAGGCCUUAUCACAUAUAUACACUUUCACAUUCAUCACAUACACUUUCACAUUCAUCACAUCGGCCAUUAGGCCUUAUCACAUAUAUACACUUUCACAUUCAUCACAUCGGCCAUUAGGCCUUAUCACAUAUAUACAUUUUCACAUUCAUCACAUCGGCCAUUAGGCCUUACCACAUAUAUACACUUUCACAUUCAUCACAUCGGCCAUUAGGCCUUAUCUCAUAUAUACACUUUCACAUUCAUCACAUCGGCUAUUAGGCCUUAUCACAUAUAUACACUUUCACAUUUAUUCAAAUAUACUUCACAUACCACAUAUACUAUCAUGUACAGACUUGGUCUUGGCCGAAUCUACAUCUAUCACUUUCCAAUGAAUAAUUCAAUUUUACGCCAUACUAUCAUUUCAUAUUCGAAUACUCAUAAGCUUACAAUAUCACGAUUUAGAAUUCAAGUAUGGGUUUAAUCAAUAGCUUAUGAGCAACUAAAACAAGUUUUAUCCAUGUUUACAACAAAAUCACAUAUUCACUACGAGCUGUUUUCCUGAGCAAUGGUCACUAAAUUAUUUAUAACCGGAGCUACAAAACUCCAAAUCACUUGCCGUUAAUUUUUCCUGAAUAUAGACUCGUAUAUCUUCCAUCCAUAAAAUUUACAGAAUUUUAGGUUUGGCCAAUCAAUACCAGAUUUUUCUUAAAGUUUCCCCUGUUUCACUGUUUGACUAAUCUGACCACUCUUCACUACGAAUCAAAUUUCUCAUUUUACAGAAUUCAAAAUGUGUUGUAUUUGAUUUCAUUUGAAACUAGACUCAUUAAGGAGUCUAAGCGUAUAAAUUUUAUCUUAUAACCAUUUUUGUACAAUUUAUAAUGAUUUUCUAAAAACAGAACAGGGGAUUUCGGAGUCAUUCUGACACCAUCUCACACAACUUUAAAUAUCUCUUUAUAGGAAAUUUCUUUGCUCACAAGGUCUCUUUUAUAAGAAACUAGACUAAUUAAGCCUUGAUUACAUAUUUUAUUCAGCCUAUAAUUCCACACCAACAAUUUAUAGUGAUUUUUUAAAAUCAUGUUACUGCUGCUGUCCAAAGCAAAUUAUUACAAUUUGCUCUUAAAUUUCCAAGUCCAAACACAUAUGAACUUACCAUUUGAGUUUAAGACAUAUCAUGGCCACAUCAUAUCUUAUUAAAUCAACUCAUUAUGUCCUAUUAUGAUUGAAUUUACUCAACGUUUAAUCACUUAAAACUUACCUCGGAAGUGGUCGACGACUAGAUAUCCACGGCUAUUCGUUUACUUUCUCUUUAUCCAA
rnacentral:lncRNA from 1 species